UACGAAGGGGGCGAGCGUUGUUCGGAAUUACUGGGCGUAAAGGGCGCGCAGGCGGCUCUGAAAGUCAGAUGUGAAAGCCCCGGGCUUAACCUGGGAACUGCAUCCAAAACUGGCAAGCUAGAGUACGGUAGAGGGUGGUGGAAUUUCCUGUGUAGCGGUGAAAUGCGUAGAUAUCAGGAGGAACACCGGUGGCGAAGGCGGUUCUCUGGGCAUUACCUGACGCUGAGGAGCGAAAGUGUGGGGAGCGAACAGG
rnacentral:rRNA from 1 species